UGAGUUGUUCUAGACUUGCUUCCGAAUCGGGCUCCCCGCAUAUUUGUGCGGUCAACUGUUUCGUAGCUUGUUUCUCGAGCGUCCCGUCCCGAAGCACAUAUUUUGCUUGGCUGGUGCGAUCAAUGGGUUGUUGCCUGUGUUGCUACUAUUUUUGGGAAAAUGUUUGUUUUGUGACUACGGCAUGCCAUGUUGCCUUCGAUUAUGAUUUUGAGAAAGUUGCGUUGGCUAUUGAAACAUCGGCUUUGUUCGGGAGCGAUCGAUGGGUCUCGACUCGUCCGCAGCUCCCGUCAUAUUAUAUGAGCAGCUCUUUUGGAUACGGUAGCUAUGCGGGUUCUUGUGGUCCUCUUCGGUCCGCAUGCAACCUCGUAGUACACACCCGUAACAGUUCAUUGUACGUGGGAGUUCUAUGAUAUAUUAGUGAUUGCGUUGCGUGCUUGCGGAGUUGCAUUCCGUCCGGGAGUGCUUCAGCAGCUCGCAUGCUCACUUUUUUGACUUGCUACCUGGUUGAUCCUGCCAGUAGUCA
rnacentral:misc_RNA from 1 species